UACAGAGGUCUCAAGCGUUGUUCGGAUUCAUUGGGCGUAAAGGGUGCGUAGGCGGCGCGGUAAGUCGGGUGUGAAAUUUCGGAGCUUAACUCCGAAACUGCAUUCGAUACUGCGGUGCUUGAGGGCUGGAGAGGAGACUGGAAUUCAUGGUGUAGCAGUGAAAUGCGUAGAGAUCAUGAGGAAGACCAGUGGCGAAGGCGGGUCUCUGGACAGUUCCUGACACUGAGGCACGAAGGCCAGGGGAGCAAACGGG
rnacentral:rRNA from 1 species